AAUCCAUGUUGAGGACAUUUCCCCAGGAGUGCCUUGAACCUAUCCCAUGUCUCAAAUAGAGACUCCCAUUCCAUUUGCACAAAAGAUAAUAUUUCGUUCCUAAGCUU